CAUUCGCUAGAAUCUGAGUUUCGAGUAAGUGAAGGGCACAGACUAUGCUUUAAGGAUAUCCUCAAAGCCUCGGUAGUAGACCUCAGUAAAUGCCUACUGAAUGAAUGAACACCCCUGAAGGAUGGAAUCAUAACAACUAGAGGGAAACAAACAAUUUGCUCCUCGGUACAGCUGUUUCUAGAACUAGACUACGGAAUGCCAGGACCAAGUACAUGGUACCGUGCAACUGCGUGUGCCAGGCACCAUGGAGGUGCUGGAGAUACAGUCUCGGCACGCUAGCGAGGGAGAGCGAGAUGGUGCUGCUGCUGUUGAAACGGUUUGGUGGUUUCUCAUGAAGUUCAGCAUCGACCACAUGACCCAGCGAUUCCACACCUAUGUGCACACCCAUGAGAAACGAAAACAGAGCCACACCGAAACCUGCACCCAAAUGUCGACAGCAGUAUCAUUCGCAAUAGCCCCAAAGCAGAAACCACCCAAAUGUCCAUCGGCAGAUGAAUGGAUUAAACGGAUGAUGGCAUAUACAUACAAGGGACAAUCGUUCAGCCAUAAGAAGGAAUGGAAUUCUGAUACCUGCUACAACAUGGCUCAAACGUCUCCAGUGGUCUGUACCGUUACUCCCCAAAGCAAGGUUUGCGGACCGGCAGCACUGGCAUCACCUGGGGACUUGUUAUAAAUGCAGAAUCUCAGGCUCCAUCCCAGACUACUGAGUCAGAAUCUGCAUUUUAACAACAUCCCUGGGGGCUCCGUGUGCACACUGAAGUUGGAGGAGGUGUGGAAGUUUGGUUGACAUGAGACUGAGGUAAGUACAACUCCUUAGCUAACUCCACAUCUUUCAUUGCUCCUCUAAAGAAAUAUUUGCUCUGCAGUAGCCUGAUCUAAAUCAGCUUGGUGCCCUUAAAAGCUCUCUAACAUGUGUGCUCUGGCUUUAGUCUCAGACGUCAUUCUGAUUUUUGUGUCUUUUCAAAUACAGAAAUGAACCCAGCGUGUAUUCUUCCAUAACCGAUUUCUCUGAAGAUGCCACCUUUAUUUCCCAAGUUUUCCAUGUCCCACAGCUAAUCCCAUGCCCUUCCCACUCCCACACAGUCCUGGAAUUCCAGAAUGCUAGUUCCAGAUCAGAGCCCAAAGUCCAUUUCUUUGCCUGGGAAGAAGUUUGAGAAGCCUUCAGAACAUGCCAUAGGCAUUCAUUCACACUUCUUUGUCUUUGGCCCAUGCUUUCAAAGUCUAGCAGAAGCCAUGGAACUUGCCUGAAGCUAGAGACGUCAAAAGUAUCAAGGCCACACUGUGUCCUCCUUCCUCCAAACUCUAAGAUCACUUGUCUGUACAUAUGAUUUGGACACUAACCCUAUAAAUCUUUGCACUGUGGUGGCAACUGGUCUAUAAUUGUACUAAGAACUAACACCAUGGUUUUCUUAUUUAACUUUAACUUUGAAAUAAUUUUAGACUGACAGAAAAGUUGUCAAAAUAGUAAGAGGAGUGCUCCCUUAUGCCCCUUACCCAGCUUCUCCUAAUGCUAACAUCUUCCUUAACCAGGUACAUAAUGAUCAAAUGUGGGAAAUGAGCUUCAGUACAAUACUCUUAACGAAACUCCAGACCUUCUGAAGAGAGAUUUCCCCAGUUUUCCCACUCGUGUUCUUUUCUUGUUUGAGGAUCCAAUCUGAGGUCCCACCUCAGUUUAGUUGUCAAGUCUCCUUCCUCUGCUCCAGGCUGGGAAACAUUCUUCCAUCUUUCCUUCUCUCUCUCGUACUUGACACUUUUGAACAUUGCUGGUCAGUUAUUUUGUAGAAGGUUCUUCAAUUUGAGUUUGAUGUUUUCUCAAGGCUAGAUAGAGGUUUUGCAUUUUUGGCAAAAAUAAAAGAAGUGAUGUUGUGUUCUUCUCAUUUGUAUCAGGGAACAUGAUAUCAAUAUUUCUUAUUAGUGGUGAUCUUAGCCCUGAUCACCUCAUUAAGAUGGUGUCUGCUGAGUUUCUCCAAUGUAAAUUUACUGUUUUUCCCUUUGUAAUUAAUAAAUAUCUUGGGCAAGAUACUUUGAGAUAA